CGUAGUUCAACAUUUGUGUUGUUUUAAAUGUGCUAUAUAAAUUAAUUUGAGUUUGAGUCAUAUAAAGUGUAAUAGAAAAGUUCUUUUCCUGUAACUUGUAACUGUCACUUCUUCAUUCUGGUCUUAGCUGUAAAUAGAUGUGUGAAUUUCACACCUUUUUCUGCUGUCUCUCUGUCAGUGACCAUCUUCACUUCCUGCAUUACGCCUUAUUUAAACUGAUCAACUUAAAGAAAUUCUGUAGAAUUCCUCUCUCCAAGUAGUCUUUAUUUUCAGAUGUAGUUGUAACAUGGUGUCUAACUACAGCUGUUUAACUGCAAGUAGCUCUCUGAGAUUAAAAAAAAAAAAUGCACACAUGAUCACGACAGUGUAACACACGUAGUAGUUAGGGACUGGGCUGAGAAACAAGAGAUUAGGGGUUUGAGUCCAGCUGAUGAUGUUCCACUACUGACCCUGUGUGUUUAAGUAAAACUCUUAAUGACAAACUGGACAAUUCCUUCAACCUCAUGACUUGUUUUUUGCUCUUACCAUCAGCUGUGAGCUUUAUAUUAACAGACGUGAACCUUUCCUAAUAAACCAACACUAAAAUAUGGUGCAGUCCUGAAUAAAUUAAAUAUAAACAAACAAAUAAACAAACAAACAAUUAUCUGCUUGUUGCAUGUACCAAUUCUCAAAUUAUCCCAAAACGUAUUUUCCGUAUGAACUAAAAUCAUUCAUUCUUAUUAAUACAGUACAUGUUUUCAUUAAUGACUGUGAGCAUGCUUUACUCCAGUGUCAUGUGCCAUAUUACUAACAGUGAUAAAAACAGUCAUUAGUUUUAAUAAGUUUUGUCUUUUCAGUAGGAAGAAGAGAAACUUCAACACACUCGAGGAAAACAGACACAACACCUCCAUCAGAACCGCCUCAGAGUAAAACAACAAACUCUCCACCUGCAUCAUCCUCAACAACACUGGAACAAGAUAAACAGCAAACACACAGCAGCCUCCCUCUAGUUUUCGGCAUUCUGGCGGGUUUAUUGUUGGUGAUACCCGGAGUAGUGGCUUUUAUUUGUUGGAAACGCAAAGGAGGAAGAUGUGGAGAGAACGUGAUCACUGAAGGACGUCCGGACUGUAAGAG